GAAAUGCGAUACUUGGUGUGAAUUGCAGAAUCCCGUGAACCAUCGAGUCUUUGAACGCAAGUUGCGCCCGAAGCCAUUAGGCCGAGGGCACGCCUGCCUGGGUGUCACACAUCGUUUCCCCAACGCAAACAUGUAACAAUGUUGCUGCGCGGGGUGUAUGCUGAAACCUUGUAUAUAAACUAGUUCCGAUAACCGGGUUGUUGUAUAUAUCAUCAUGUAUAUACACACUAUCUCUUCUCCUUUGACCUCAAAUCAGGCAAGAUUACCCGCUGAACUUAA
rnacentral:misc_RNA from 1 species